rnacentral:rRNA from 1 species
GACGGGGGGGGCAAGUGUUCUUCGGAAUUACUGGGCGUAAAGGGCGCGUAGGCGGUUCGUUAAGUCCUGUGUGAAAUCCCCCGGCUCAACUGGGGAACUGCACAGGAAACUAGCGGGCUUGAGUUCGGGAGAGGGAAGCGGAAUUCCGGGUGUAGCGGUGAAAUGCGUAGAUAUCCGGAGGAACACCGGUGGCGAAGGCGGCUUCCUGGACCGACACUGACGCUGAUGCUCGAAAGCUAGGGGAGCAAACGGG